rnacentral:rRNA from 1 species
CUGCUGCCUUCCGUAGGAGUCUGGGCCGUGUCUCAGUCCCAAUGUGGCCGUCCACCCUCUCAGGCCGGCUACUGAUCGCUGCCUUGGUAGGCCGUUACCCUGCCAACUAGCUAAUCAGACGCGGAUCCAUCUUACACCACCGGAGUUUUUCACACUCCCCCAUGCGGGGCUGUGCGCUUAUGCGGUAUUAGCACCUAUUUCUAAGUGNUUAUCCCCCAGUGUAAGGCAGGUUAUCCACGCGUUACUCACCCGUCCG